AAUAUUUAUAUUUCCUCUAUCUUUUAAAACUGAACACCGAGGUGGGUUUUGUGGUGGGUGGUGAACGGACAGGUUUGGGCCUCGAUCCCCCACCCGACCCUAGCACCCAGAGGUGGGGGUGCCCCCUCUGCUGAUGCGCCUCCUCCCUCAGCACCGUGGACCUGCUGGACUGGAGCAGCCUCAUCGACAGCAGGACCAAGCUGUCCAAGCACCUGGUAGUCCCCAACGCACAGGUAACACCUCCGCUCCUCAGUGAGGCCCAGCUCAGCAGGGCGCUGCGCUAAGAAGGGAAUUCAGCCUGCCACGUGUGUCUCUUGUUGCCUAUCCUGGGAACUUAACAUGACCAAGAUCACUGCACACUAUGGCCCCACAGACCCCCUAUGGUCCAGGGGGAAGAAGACAAACCCACUAGUGUCCACAGAGUGCUUGGCGGGACAGAGACCCACACGGAGCCUUAAGACACCACAAGGAGAGGGGGUCUGGGGGCCUUCCCCAAGUCAUCUGUCUUGUGCAUCAGGUCACCCCAAACUUCAGAGGCCUGAAACGGCAGCAGCCACUCUGCUUCUGCCUUAUGGUUCUGGGGUUGACAGGGCUCAGCUGGGCAGUCCUCCCUUGGGGUCUCCUGGGUAGCUGUACUCACAGAGUGGUGGUGCUGGGACCUGGGGGAGGCGCCCACUCACAUGUCUGGGAGUUGGUGCUGGCUGUGGCUUGGGCUUUUUCCCAACAUGGCAGCUGGGCUCUAAGGGCCAGUGUCCCCUAAGACGUGAGAGCAGGCAGAAGCUGGGUGACCUUUUCCUGCCUCGCCUCAGAAGUCACACGGUGUCUUUUCUGGCAAGUUCUGUUUGUUAGAAGCAUGUCACCAGGCCAGCCUGUAUACAGUGGGGAGAGGAAUGAGACUCAUCUGCCUGUGGGAGGGGGGCCCAGGACCUGGCAGACUGCUUGAAACCACAGCUUAAACUGGAAUUCGAAGAAAGAACAGAAGCACCUUCAGAAAACAUCCUGCAGAGGCAGCUUUCCAUGACACAUCUAGCCCCAGUCCACUAAGGGCCCAGCCUCAAACUUAGAGCCCCCGACCCAGAGCCUCGGGGCACAGUGCGUACAGUGUGGCUGUGCACCAAGGCCACCAGCUGUUGGAGACUUUAGCAUGGUGUAGCAAGGGAUAGAGUGGUACUGUUUGUGCCCAGUGAGGCAAGGCUGCUGGGGCCAGCAAAGGGGUGAGCGGGAGGGCCUGCGGGAUGGGUCCCCACGGCCUCUGAGCACCAGCUCCUUGAAGGCCUCAUCCUGGCGGUUGCCCUGGUCCCUGGCUACGUGUCAGCAUGUGCUGCACAACUGCCCUGUCUGCCUGUAGCCAGGGGUCUUCCUCCUGGGCCCUCUGCCUGCUCCGGGCGGAGCCCUUCUGUUUGACGAUUGGGUGAUCAGUGUUCACUUGUUCAAUGUCACAUGGGAGCUGCAGGGGGCUCUCCCACAACGGUGGGGCCUCUGUGGGAACUGGGGAGUACACACUUCGGAGUGCAGGCCUGGACUGAGCCCGGGGCCCACUGACAUGGGCACUGAGCUCCCUCAUGGUACCCCUAGGCCCCGCAUAGGGCAGUGCACUGGCUGCGUUGGAGGUUCCAGGGCACUGUGCUGCUUGUCCAGGUGGCCCUCCCUCCCAGCCCUGCACAGACGGGUGAGAGGGUUCCUGUGGGCUGGGAAUACUGAGAGAGGUUUAGCCUGGGCCUCAGGGUGGCACUUUCCAGCCCUUGCUGUGGCCUGACCGCAUGUUGCACCCCCAGACAGGACAGCUGGAGCCCCUGCUGUCCCGGUUCACUGAGGAGGAGGAGCUACAGAUGACGAGGAUGCUACAGCGGAUGGAUGUCCUGGCCAAGAAAGCCACAGAGAUGGGCGUGCGGCUGAUGGUGGAUGCCGAGCAGACCUACUUCCAGCCGGCCAUCAGCCGCCUGACGCUGGAGAUGCAGCGGAAGUUCAAUGUGGAGAAGCCGCUCAUCUUCAACACAUACCAGUGCUACCUCAAGGAUGCCUAUGACAAUGUGACCCUGGACGUGGAGCUGGCUCGCCGUGAGGGCUGGUGUUUUGGGGCCAAGCUGGUGCGGGGCGCAUACCUGGCCCAGGAGCGAGCCCGUGCGGCAGAGAUUGGCUAUGAGGACCCCAUCAACCCCACGUACGAGGCCACCAACGCCAUGUACCACAGGUGCCUGGACUACGUGCUGGAGGAGCUGAAGCACAACGCCAAGGCCAAGGUGAUGGUGGCCUCCCACAAUGAGGACACAGUGCGCUUCGCACUGCGCAGGAUGGAGGAGCUGGGCCUGCAUCCUGCUGACCACCAGGUGUACUUUGGACAGCUGCUAGGCAUGUGUGACCAGAUCAGCUUCCCGCUGGGUGAGUGGGGCCCUCCCUGGUGCGAUGGGGUACGGUGCUGGGCCUGGGCCUCAUGGUGUAUCUGCCCCCAUGCAGGCCAGGCCGGCUACCCCGUGUACAAGUACGUGCCCUAUGGCCCCGUGAUGGAGGUGCUGCCCUACUUGUCCCGCCGUGCCCUGGAGAACAGCAGCCUCAUGAAGGGCACCCAUCGGGAGCGGCAGCUGCUGUGGCUGGAGCUCUUGAGGCGGCUCCGAACUGGCAGCCUCUUCCAUCGCCCUGCCUAGCACCCGCCAGCCCACCCUCAGCCUCCAGCACCCCCGGCCCCCACCCAGGCCAUCACCACAACUGCAGCCAACCCCAUCCUCACACAGAUUCACCUUUUUUCACCCCACACUUGCAGAGCUGCUGGAGGUGGAGUCAGGUGCCUCCCAGCCCUGCCAAUGGUGGGGGCACUCAGGUGUGGGCUGACCCUGAUACCUGCCUGGGAUAGCCGCUGGUAACUGUUAGGAACUUUCCUCGGAUGUGUGGGCCCAAGGCCCCCACCUCUGUGACCCCCAUGUCCUUGGACCUAGAGGAUUGUCCACCUUCUGCCAAGGCCAGCCCACACAGCCCGAGCCCCUCGGGGAGCAGUGGCCGGGCUGGGGAGGCCUGCCUGGUCAAUAAACCACUGUUCCUGC
rnacentral:sRNA from 1 species